rnacentral:lncRNA from 1 species
GCAGUUUUCUGAUUUUCAUAGGAGUUUGAUCAUUGUUGUGCAACAUCAGGUUAGAUUAUCCUUGUUGUUUUAAUGCUCCUAAUAAUGAUUUUCUAGGUUCAUGAACAACAGAGCUCACUAUUUGUAGUGGUCAUUAUCUCUCUGAUUUGUGGUCACUUUCCGUGCAGAUGUUCCUGUGUACAGCUAUUUUGGUUGCUGUAUAAAUCAAAUUAUUUUGUCAAUGUAUCGACUGCACUGAGACUAAUCUGAAAUUUCUUGCAUAUGUUUCUUUUUUUGUCUUCUAAUGUACUUCCACGUCAUCACUAAGAAGGUUUAUUGUCUUGUCCUGUGGUAGUAAGAAUCCCAGCAGUCUGGCUAAAAGGAACAGACUGAGCAAUUACAAAACUCACUAAAAAGUAAGUGAGGCAGCACUUACAUUGCAGAAUGCUUACCAUCAGUUCUGAUAACACAAGUGGCAAAAAAUGUUUGGUGGGGCUGAAAACUGUGGUUUUAAAAGUAUGUUUGCAAAGCUAUCAUAAAAAGUAGGCAAGGAAAUGUAUUUUAUUAGCUGACUUUGAAAAUAUUUGUAUAACUCUGUUUGCAUCACUGUAUAUGUCCAUAUAUUUCUGCUUUUUUCAGAACGAUCUUGAGGUCAUUCAGAGCUCCUGGGAACUUAAGCUAUAUUUUUCUAGCUCUGAAGGCUCUGAGAAUGGUUUGUGUAACAGUCUAAUAUACAACCUAAUAAAGAAAGCAAAAAGCUGAGUAGAACUUUGUUCCUUUCCUGGAAAGGAAGAUCAGCAGAGUACGUCAGCAGGCAGAGAGAGAAAAAGGAGAAGUGUCCUGUCUGGAGCUGAAGAAUCUCAAGGGAAGAUUCACAGGGAUUUCUUACAAGAAAUGAAAUGUUAACAUUAGCGUUAAAAAGGAGUUCUUUCUGCAGGGUAAGGUUCUUUGUUUAACAGACUUCUCUCCAAAGCAGUGUUUGCCCUGUGUUACUUCGUGAGUAACUUUUAUUACCAACAAAGUACCCAAAUAUUUUUUUUUUUGCAUUGCACUUUUAAAAAAAAUCCCCUUGAGCUUGAAGUUUCUGCCGACACAGUCCUUCCCUUCCCCUUCCAGUCACACAG